AUUACCUCAGUAACGGCGAGUGAAGCGGUAACAGCUCAAAUUUGAAAUCUGGGUCUUUCAGGCUCCGAGUUGUAAUUUGUAGAAGAUGCUUCGGGUGCGGCUCCGGUCUAAGUUCCUUGGAACAGGACGUCAUAGAGGGUGAGAAUCCCGUAUGUGAUCGGCCGCUUGCGCCCAUGUGAAGCUCUUUCGACGAGUCGAGUUGUUUGGGAAUGCAGCUCCAAAUGGGUGGUAUAUUUCAUCUAAAGCUAAAUAUUGGCCAGAGACCGAUAGCGCACAAGUAGAGUGAUCGAAAGAUGAAAAGCACUUUGGAAAGAGAGUUAAACAGUACGUGAAAUUGUUGAAAGGGAAGCGCUUGCAACCAGACUUGCGUGUUGUUGAUCAUCCGGGGUUCUCCCCGGUGCACUCGACCUCACUCAGGCCAGCAUCGGUUUCGGUGGUUGGAUAAAGGCCUUGGGAAUGUAGCUCCUCUCGGGGAGUGUUAUAGCCCUCGGUGCAAUGCAGCCUACCGGGACCGAGGACCGCGCUUCGGCUAGGAUGCUGGCGUAAUGGUUGUAAGCGACCCGUCUUGAAACACGGACCAAGGAGUCUAACAUCUAUGCGAGUGUUUGGGUGUCAAACCCAUACGCGUAAUGAAAGUGAACGGAGGUGAGAACCCUUAAGGGUGCAUCAUCGACCGAUCCUGAUGUCUUCGGAUGGAUUUGAGUAAGAGCAUAGCUGUUGGGACCCGAAAGAUGGUGAACUAUGCCUGAAUAGGGUGAAGCCAGAGGAAACUCUGGUGGAGGCUCGCAGCGGUUCUGACGUGCAAAUCGAUCGUCAAAUUUGGGUAUAGGGGCGAAAGACUAAUCGAACCAUCUAGUAGCUGGUUCCUGCCG
rnacentral:rRNA from 1 species